rnacentral:tRNA from 1 species
AGGCGGCAUAGCCAAGUGGUAAGGCUAAGGAUUGCAAAUUCUUCAUUCCCCAGUUCGAAUCUGGGUGCCGCCUG